rnacentral:rRNA from 1 species
GACGAACGCUGGCGGCGUGCUUAACACAUGCAAGUCGAGCGGUAAGGCCCUUUCGGGGGUACACGAGCGGCGAACGGGUGAGUAACACGUGGGUGACCUGCCCUUAGCUCUGGGAUAAGCCUGGGAAACUGGGUCUAAUACCGGAUAUGACUCCAUGACGCAUGUUGUGGGGUGGAAAGCCUUGUGCGGCUAGGGAUGGGCCCGCGGCCUAUCAGCUUGUUGGUGGGGUGANGGCCUACCAAGGCGACGACGGGUAGCCGGCCCGAGAGGGCGACCGGCCACACUGGGACUGAGACACGGCCCAGACUCCUACGGGAGGCAGCAGUGGGGAAUCUUGCGCAAUGGGCGAAAGCCUGACGCAGCGACGCCGCGUGAGGGAUGACGGCCUGGUGUAAC